AUACGGAGGAUCCGAGCGUUAUCCGGAUUUAUUGGGUUUAAAGGGUGCGUAGGCGGCCUUUUAAGUCAGCGGUGAAAGUCUGUGGCUCAACCAUAGAAUUGCCGUUGAAACUGGGGGGCUUGAGUAUGUUUGAGGCAGGCGGAAUGCGUGGUGUAGCGGUGAAAUGCAUAGAUAUCACGCAGAACCCCGAUUGCGAAGGCAGCCUGCCAAGCCAUGACUGACGCUGAUGCACGAAAGCGUGGGGAUCAAACAGGAUUAGAUACCCUGGUAGUCCACGCAGUAAACGAUGAUCACUAGCUGUUUGCGAUACACUGUAAGCGGCACAGCGAAAGCGUUAAGUGAUCCACCUGGGGAGUACGCCGGCAACGGUGAAACUCAAAGGAAUUGACGGGG
rnacentral:rRNA from 1 species